CCUGGCGUGGUCUGGUCCAUGGGGUCACGAAGAGUCGGACACGACUCAAUGACUAAACAACAACAACAAUGGCCGUGCUGUAUAUAGACAUUAUGUAAGCUUUAUGCAAGAAUUCCUACCCAGCACAUUGGCUGCUUAUAGAUUGAUGGGAGAAAGGUGGAAAGGCACAAAUAGCCCUGGAAAGAUUUGUGGCCACCAGGUCUCCUCCUGUGAGCAUAAAACACACAUUGCAGAAUUGUCCUAGCAAAAUAUGGAUGUUUGUUUUUUCAGUUUCCUUGCCAUAAUUAGUGCAACAGGAUAUAUGUGGAUUGGACUCCUUAUACUGACUCAGGUAUAGGUAUGGGAGAGGACCAGCCUGAUCUGAAGCAUACUGCACAUCUGGAAAGCAUGCAUUUGAAUCUGAAGUGAUGCAACAGCACUCUCAAUCUAUGAAGUCAGAGUGAUCAGAUUUACUAGCAGGGAAGCAUACAUUUACAUCAUGUUUAGAAAUGUGCACCAAAGCUGAGCUCCAUGUCGAACAGCCCUGAAGGCAAAAUCUAAAUCUAAUUCUACAGAAACUGCAACUGCAGAGAAGGAACAUUUGUGCUCAACACAGGAGACGAAAUCCACCUGUCUAUUUCUUGACUGGGUCUUGUAGGUUUAAGCUGCAAGGAGCCACAGAUGAAGUUUCAGCAUAAGUGAUGCUGUCUAUAUCAUGCUUUCUCCGCAUAAAUCAAACCCAUGCAUUCACUCCCUGACAAAUGGAAGCGGACACCGUAAGGAAGAGGGUGUGAAGCAUGUAGGUUUAGAACAGCUAGUAGAAAGACAUGAUUAUUUGUAUUAUUGCAGCACUGAGAGGCAACAAGCGAGAUCAUGGGGGCCAUUGUGUUAGACAUGGCAUAUAUUUAUAGAAAAGGACAGCUUUGGUUCCAAAGAGCUUACAACUUACACCGAAAAGAAAGAAAGGGUUGAAAAGGAAAUAGAGGCAAAGAAGAAAAGUGACUUGUUCACAAUUUCAGCUUUCCCUUCCGUCAGUGUGUGGGAGUGAUCUACAGGCUUUGAAGAACAGAAGCAAAAAAGGAGGAGGGAUGGAAUAAGAAUUCCAGUGAGCUUGCAUAUUGUAAGACUGUUUGCUACAUUAUAAUUGGUUUUGCCUAUUGAAAGUUGGCUAAAAUAUUUGCUUUCCCCCCUCCAUGCAUCACCAAGACCAAGAGUGUAUUCUAAAGCCUCAUAAAAUGAUUCUGCUGUGUUGGGAGAUUAGAGAUAUAAAAGCCUUUUUUAUUAUCUCUAUUUUGCCAUGUGCAUUUGCAAUGAACUGCAACCUCCUACCCCCUAGCGGUAUAAUUAGUUCAAUCAAGGCACAUUCAAGGUUGGGUCCGAUACUGAAGAGUACACAGACAAGCUUUGACUUGAGUAUUAUUCCUUGUUACAUGGGGGGAGAGAGAGAGAGCAGGAAGGUAAGAACGUUCCAUUCCCUGGUCAUUCCAUGGUGGGAAGAACUACGGAAGAACUGCACCAAUCCUUAAGUGCUACUCAUCCAGGCCUGAAAAGCCAUGGGCUACUUGGUGUGCAUAGGCUGUUUGGUGUCCUUCUUCUGGCCUGUCAUAUUGAGGUAGAAUAACUCAAGCUGGAAGUGUUAUUAUGCAGAGAAUAUAAUGCUACCAUGUAAAAUAACAUGAGGCAAUCACAAUAUUUUAUACAACGCUGUCAGUGUGCAUAGAGCAUAAGAGCAUAAUACGACAGGCCCCUGCCAGAAGGAGCCUUAAGGUAAAAUUCAGCACAGGAAGAACACAUAGCUAUCAACUUUUCCCUUUUUUUAAAGGAAAUUCCCUUAUUCCAAAUAGGAUUCCUCGCAAGAAAAGGGAAAAGUUGACAGCUAUGGAAGAACAGCAGAUAAGGGAGGUAAGUGGAGGUAGGGAUCAGUAGGAUGUUGUCCAUGGUCUAUUUGUGGCAAUAGUGCUAUAUAACAUUUUGUCAUUUUCUUUUUGUGUAGCAGUAAUUGCAUCAAUUGCUGGAAAGAAGGAGAUUUUCGAUGCCCAUAAAAGGCAAGAUUAAACCUAGUUAUGCACUUUAAGCCCAACUAUUUUCAGAACAUGAACCUCCUUUGCACACAGCAAAUCCUAGAGGUUCCGGAUAGCUUUGAGUAGCUCCAUAGAAAUACAUGCAUACUCUUCACAUUGAAGCAGCUGCCGCCCCACCAUGCCAUUCACCACUAAGUGGUAUGCUGUAUUUUAAUCAGUUUUACAAAAUAAGCCACCUACCCUGGGACCAUUGGUGAAUGGUGGCUUGACUGGGAAAGGUUACUCUUAACUUCAGAAGGACUGCAUGGGCUAAAUUUGUAACUAAAGCAGAUGAUAAAAUUUCAUUCAUUCAUUCAUUUAUCAUAACGUAUAUAAUACUUGAUUGUAAACAGAACCUCUAAACAAUGUACAAAAAACAAACAAACACA